rnacentral:rRNA from 1 species
UACGGAGGAUCCAAGCGUUAUCCGGAUUUAUUGGGUUAAAGGGUGCGUAGGCGGCCUAUUAAGUCAGGGGUGAAAGACGGUAGCUUAACUAUCGCAGUGCCUUUGAUACUGAUGGGCUUGAAUGAACUAGAGGUAGGCGGAAUGUGACAAGUAGCGGUGAAAUGCAUAGAUAUGUCACAGAACACCAAUUGCGAAGGCAGCUUACUAUGGUUUUAUUGACGCUGAGGCACGAAAGCGUGGGGAUCAAACAGG